CAUAAGGGAAUGCUUAUGUUAUUGAAUUUUUCAACAAUCGAACACCCACGACAAGUGAAAGCUUCUGUUAUUGAAUUAACAAGUUCUGCAAGUAAUAGUAAAGGAAAACUAAGAUCAUAAAUACUUGAUAAAUACUAGAUUAUGGAUAAAUACUUGAUUAAGCGAUAAAGAACUGUUGAUCAAUUACAAAAUUGUUCCGAAGUUCCGAAACAAGUGAUGGUAUUAAUAAUUUUGGCUCGCUUGAUUAAAAUUUUUUGACCCCCCUAUAAAAUUGUUCUGAUUCCGCCACUGCCGGUUAAAAGAUAAAGGUGGUGAAAUAAUGUAUUUAUGUACGCGAAUGCAGUUUAUACGUUGCUGUCCAUCAUAUGAGCAAGUAGACUAGUAGCUCAACCAUUUCCUUUAAAAAUAAGUCACCAUGCAUGUUUUUAAUUUAAAGUUUUUGGUAACCUGAUCACAUUCACGGACCC
rnacentral:lncRNA from 1 species